rnacentral:rRNA from 1 species
UACGUAGGGCGCAAGCGUUAUCCGGAAUUAUUGGGCGUAAAGAGCUCGUAGGCGGUUUUGUCGCGUCUGCUGUGAAAACGCGAGGCUCAACCUCGCGCCUGCAGUGGGUACGGGCAGACUAGAGUGCGGUAGGGGAGAUUGGAAUUCCUGGUGUAGCGGUGAAAUGCGCAGAUAUCAGGAGGAACACCGGUGGCGAAGGCGGAUCUCUGGGCCAUUACUGACGCUGAGGAGCGAAAGCGUGGGGGAGCGAACAGG